UGCGUAGGCGGUGCGGUAAGUCUGGUGUGAAAUCUCCCGGCUUAACUGGGAGGGUGCGCUAUAGACUGUGGGGCUAGAGUGUGGGAGAGGAAAGUGGAAUUCCUGGUGUAGCGGUGAAAUGCGUAGAUAUCAGGAGGAACACCGGUGGUGUAAACGGCUUUCUGGACCAUAACUGACGCUGAGGCACGAAAGCGUGGGUAGCAAACAGGAUUAGAUACCCUGGUAGUCCACGCCCUAAACGAUGCAUAUUUGGUGUGGGUCAUUCAGUUGAUCCGUGCCGGAGCUAACGCGUUAAAUAUGCCGCCUGGGGAGUACAGUCGCAAGGCUGAA
rnacentral:rRNA from 1 species